rnacentral:rRNA from 1 species
UAACUCCGUGCCAGCAGCCGCGGUAAUACGGAGGGUGCAAGCGUUGUUCGGAAUUACUGGGCGUAAAGCGCGCGUAGGUGGUUUGUUAAGUUGGAUGUGAAAGCCCCGGGCUCAACCUGGGAANUGCAUCCAAAACUGGCAAGCUAGAGUACGGUAGAGGGUGGUGGAAUUCCNUGUGUAGCGGUGAAAUGCGUAGAUAUAGGGAGGGACACCAGUUGCGAAGGCGACCACCUGGACUGAUACUGACACUGAGGUGCGAAAGCGUGGGGAGCAAACAGGGUUAGAUACCCUGGUAGUCCACGCCGUAAACGAUGU